UACGAAGGGGGCUAGCGUUGCUCGGAAUCACUGGGCGUAAAGCGCACGUAGGCGGCUUUCUAAGUCAGGGGGUGAAAUCCUGGAGCUCAACUCCAGAACUGCCUUUGAUACUGGAGAGCUUGAGUCCGGGAGAGGUGAGUGGAACUCCGAGUGUAGAGGUGAAAUUCGUAGAUAUUCGGAAGAACACCAGUGGCGAAGGCGGCUCACUGGCCCGGUACUGACGCUGAUGUGCGAAAGCGUGGGGAGCAACAGG
rnacentral:rRNA from 1 species